rnacentral:rRNA from 1 species
CGCAUCUGUGCAUGCAGCAUAUCAAUAAGCGGAGGAAAAGAAACUAACAAGGAUUCCCCUAGUAACGGCGAGUGAAGCGGGAAGAGCUCAAAUUUGAAAUCUUAAAGGGUUUCCCUUUACGAAUUGUAGUUUAAAGAAGUGUUUUCUGUUGAGGUUUUGGUAAAAGUUCUUUGGAAUAGGACAUCAUAGAGGGUGAGAAUCCCGUACUUUGACCUUUACUUUCAACUUUGUGAUACACUUUCAAAGAGUCGGAUUGUUUGGGAAUGCAGUCCAAAAUGGGUGGUAAAUUUCAUCUAAAGCUAAAUAUUGGCGAGAGACCGAUAGCGAACAAGUACCGUGAGGGAAAGAUGAAAAGAACUUUGAAAAGAGAGUUAAACAGUACGUGAAAUUGUCAAAAGGGAAGCGUUUGACACCAGUGUUGUUUUUCUGAAAAUCAAUUAAAGAACUGUUUAUGCUAAGCUGUUUAGACUUUAUCAGCUAUCUGUUUAGUUUUGAGCUUUUCUUUAAUGCACUUUUCAGUUAACAAGUCAACAUCAAUUUCUUUUGCUGUAAAAAAGCUUGAGGAAGGUGGCUUGAGAUUCGUCUUAAGUGUUUAUAGCCUCUUGCCUAUGCAGUCGGAGAGAUUGAGGUCUGCAGCGUAGAUCCUUCGGGGCUAAAUGCAUUUGUGCUAAGUUAUAGCAUUUUAUAGACAACUUGUUGACUAUGAUUUGUCUUGUAGCUUACUCGCUUAUGUUAUUUUACCUACGCUUAGGAUGUUGAGUCGUAGAGCACGCAG